UCUGGCACAUGGAUGCCAGAUCUUUCGCCGCGUUGCCCGUCCAAUCCGAUCCGAUCCUUGGACGAUUUUCCUAUAUUUUUCUGGACGGGGUAUCUCGGAACAUGGAUCAACAAGGGAACGGAAAAGGAGACCACUGUCGGCGGCGCGUGGCGCCCUGCGGCGUCCUAGUCGACAAAUCAACAGUUAGUCUCCCAUGGCGUAUGGCGAGUUGGCCGGCGAGGAGGUUCAGUGAACGGCAGGUCAUGCACAGCCAAGAACCAUCAGAUAGUAGUAUUCACAUCUAGUAGCUGGAGCAGAAAAUGUACACACAGGUCACUGGCAGCUGAGCCCUGGCCAAUGUAAAGAAGAAUGCACAAACAAAGCAAGUACUAAUCAACGCAUGGAAUAUAUUAUUCCAAGUUCUGACUGACGCAUCAGAACCCCUGAUAGUACCCGCCAAAUGAUAUGCUUGCCCGUGCGGAUGAUGCGCCUCCCAUGACCGACGACAUGGUCUGGUUCAGCCUGGAUGCCUGCUGCACAACCUGCUGAAUCCUCUGCAGAUCAAACAAGCGAGAAUCCUGUCAGAAUGCCCCCCAUUAUUUCUCUUUAUACCGGUGCAUUAGCAGCAGCCAUUAACCUAUUCAUUCCAAGAUUCCAUUCUGCAAUAAUCUGGUCUAAAUCCAAAGAUUCUUUUCAUUA